AUUGAACGCUGGCGGCAGGCCUAACACAUGCAAGUCGAGCGGAUGAAGGGAGCUUGCUCCUGGAUUCAGCGGCGGACGGGUGAGUAAUGCCUAGGAAUCUGCCUGGUAGUGGGGGAUAACGUCCGGAAACGGGCGCUAAUACCGCAUACGUCCUGAGGGCGACAGUGGGGGAUCUUCGGACCUCACGCUAUCAGAUGAGCCUAGGUCGGAUUAGCUAGUUGGUGGGGUAAAGGCCUACCAAGGCGACGAUCCGUAACUGGUCUGAGAGGAUGAUCAGGCAGACGGGAACAGAGACACGGUCCAGACACCUACGGGAGGAAGCAGUGGGGAAUAUUGGGCAAUGGGCGAAAGCCGGAUCCAGCCAUGCCGCGUGUGGGAAGAAGGUCUUCGGAUUGUAAAGCACUGUAAGUUGGAGGGAAGGGCAGUUAGUUAAUACCUGGCUGUAUUGACGGUACCAACAGAAUAAGCACCGGCUAACUUCGUG
rnacentral:rRNA from 1 species